AACGAACGCUGGCGGCAUGCCUAACACAUGCAAGUCGAACGAGACCUUCGGGCCUAGUGGCGCACGGCUGCGUAACGCGUGGGAACCUGCCCUUAGGUUCGGAAUAACUCCCCGAAAGGGGUGCUAAUACCGGAUAAUGUCUUCGGACCAAAGAUUUAUCGCCUUUGGAUGGGCCCGCGUUGGAUUAGCUAGUUGGUAGGGUAAAAGCCUACCAAGGCGACGAUCCAUAGCUGGUCUGAGAGGAUGAUCAGCCACACUGGGACUGAGACACGGCCCAGACUCCUACGGGAGGCAGCAGUGGGGAAUAUUGGACAAUGAGCGAAAGCCUGACCCAGCAAUGCCGCGUGAGUGAUGAAGGCCUUAGGGUUGUAAAGCUCUUUUACCCGGGAUGAUAAUGACAGUACCGGGAGAAUAAGCUCCGGCUAACUCCGUG
rnacentral:rRNA from 1 species